CUCCCUUUUUCUUUUUCCCUUCUUUUUUCCCUCUAAAAAUUUGAAUGGACUAUGAUGGCACAGUUAUAGAAAAAUAGUCGGUUACUAAAUUGUUGGAUGUCGUUGGGUCCUGAAUAGUAAUUGCACAACAAGCAGGUCGCAUUUGGUGAUGGAGACUCUUCAAAGCAUAUUCGACAGCCUCUCUGGCUCCAUGAAUUUGGGUUGGAGAGAUGGAAGUUUCUUGGAGUGGAUCGUGAGCGGCGUUCCGAGUUUGAAUGAGAUUGAGGGUGAAGGACCUUUCGGUAAGGCCAAAGGAGCCUUUGUGAAGCAUUUUCCAGGCGUUUUUCUGGACGAAGGUGAAGAAGAAGAACUUUUGACCCGUCUGAAACUCACUCUUUUCGUCUCCUAUUUGGCUUCCGUGAAGCACGGAUGGCAGCCCUUGAAAAAGCUUCUUUUGGGGUUAAAAAUCCACGAGCAACGCGUGAUUGAAAGGAUUUUCUCUUACUUGCUCGAAGAUAAAUGGGACGAAACUCUGGUGAAAUCCGUGAAAAUGGAUACAAGUGAAGCCUCGGCUGUUCCUAUCUCCUCGUAUGCCACAACCCCCAUCAGACGUCUCAAACGUUUAAAAUCCCCUUCCUCACCCUCUACUUUCAACUACUCUCCCAGCACUCAUUUCCCGACUCUCCGGGAAUUCUUUUCCUCCCCCAUUACGACACAGAUAUCCAAAUAUCAAAGAAUUGCUGAAGAUCAAAAGAGAAUUUUAAGUUUGGUUCGACUAGAGCUAGAUCAAGAAAAGUUAGAGACUCUUAAUCUUAUGAAAGAGCGUGAAGAGCUCAUUAAAGAUCGGCAAACUCUCAAAAAAUCCCUUGCCAUUGCGAGGCAAAAUUUGCUUGAUAAUCAAGUUGACAUGGAGGAAGAGGACGAAGAAGCUGCAUAUGGAGAAUUACAGAGGCGUUUAGCCGAGAAAAAGGACUCUGAGAAAUAUAUCAUUUCUCUUGAAGAGCAAUUGAGUGAAACAGUAAGUGAAAAAGAUGUAUUAAAAAGAACAGUGAAUAGUCAUAAAACAAAGCUUGAUGAAAUGUCAUUUCGAAAUACUGAACUCAGCACUAAAAAUAUUCAACUCCAAGUAUCGCUAAGUCAAGAAAACGAUAUGAACACCGAUCUUAAUAAUAAGUGCAAUGAGUUAGAGGUUCAAGUCAAGGAGUUGCAAGAAAUCCUUAAUUCAAAGCGUUCGUCAAAAGAAAAUGCGGGAAAAUUAUUAGCGACUCAACUAAAGAGUGGCGUUUCUGUAUCGGAUAUUAGUCUAGAUGAUCCACUGAUGUCUAUGCCACCAUCUCCCGAAGGAGAAAACAUGGCAAAUGCGCUAGUGAUUCCUGAAUUGGAAGAGCAGUUGGCACUCAUAACAGAGGAGCGUGAUAAUUUUGAGAAAAGAACAAGUCUUUGUGAGGAAGAAUUAGUUUUAAAACGUGAAGAAGUGAAUCAUCUUUCAGAUAAUCUAUGUGAAUUACGCCAAUGUAGUGAAAAUUAUAAGUUAAUUGUCGAAAACUUGGAAAAAGAAAAAACGACCAUGGACAAAUAUCUUGAGGAACUAACUCUCCGAAAAGAAUUGCUUCAAAACGAUUAUGAGAAAGUAAUAAUGGACUGCAAUUCUUCUAAAGAAAUUAUUAAGGACAUAAAUCAAGUCAAUGAAGAUCUUCAAUGUAAGAUAAAUACGCUUAAUAAUGAGAUAAUCGAAUUACGUGAAUCGAAUAGUAAAGAAUUGAAUGCUCUAUCAGCUAAUCUAAUUUCUUCUCAAACUUCUCUUGAAAGCCUGAAAAGUCAUAAUAGAUCCUUGUGUGAUGAUAUAGAAACUCAUAAGUCUAUUCAAUCAAAAUAUGAAAGUGAAAUGAAAGAACAAAAGAUGCAAAUAAUGUCAAUAACGGAGGAUCUCAACUCACUCAAAUCAGUCAAUGAAAACCUUCAAAAUGAACACAAUAUUAUUUCUUCUGAUUCCCAGUCUCAAAUAUCCUCAUUGAGUACAACUGUUGACAAUCUUAAAAAUGACCAAACUCAGCUUAUUAGUGAGAACGAGAAAUUAAUUUGUAAAAACAGGGAUUUAACUACUCAAUUAUGUGACUAUCAGACAAAAAUAAAUGAAUUAACGGAUAAAAAUUUACAAUUGUCCACUCAAGUACAGGAGUGUAACUUUCAAAUAUCCACCAUAAACAAAGAUUUAGAAAAUUGCGCGGCAAAGAAUGGUGAAUUUGAAGGGAAAAUAAGUCAUUUAGAGACCCAUUCCAAAAAGUUAGAAGAUGAAAAGUUGGAAAAUUUAAAGAAAUUGAGAUGUUGUAAGGACGAAAAUGAUAACUUGAUCGCAGUUCUUAAAACAAAUGAAGAAAAAUUGAAAAAGGACCAUGAAGAAUUAAUUCAGAAUAAUCAUUCCUUAAUUGCUCAACUCUCUGACUGUAAAUUAGAAAUUGAGUCUCUUCAAAAAAAUACUGGCAAUCUUAAAGAAAAGUGUGAUUUCUACAAAGGGGUUAUUAAUACUAAUGAAGACAAACUAAGAGAGGUGAAUGAUAUUAAUGAUAAAUUAAUGCAAGAUAUGGAAUUUUCUAAGGAGCAAAACACUGCAACUUUACAUGAAUCAGAAGAAAGAUUGAAUGCUCUGAAUAAGGAGUUAAGUAUGACUAUCAGUGCUAAAGAUAAAGAAAUUUCCAACCUUAAAAGCGAUAAUUGUAAUAAUCAAGAUAAAAGUCUUAAAAAGGAGGAACUGUUAAUGGAGUCUAACAAUGAAUGUAAAAAGCUUAAUGAAGUGAUCAAAUCAUUAAAUGAAGAAAUCAUCUCCAAAACUAAGGUAUUUGACUCUGAACUCAAUAGUUUCAAAGAAAAUAUAUCUACCCAUGAAGAGACACUUUCCUCAUUUAAAAAUAAUGUUCAUGAAUUAAAAGAGAAACUCAGAACUAAAGAUGAAGAAAUUGAGUCUCUUAAUACUGGAUUAAAUACAUUUUCCACGGAAACUUUUGAAAUAAAGAAGAAUUUAGAAGACAUAAAAGAGUCUAAGAAGUUAAUUGAAUCUUCCCUAUUAACGGCUAAUGAAUCUUUGAAAAAAUUUGAAACUGAUAUUAAAACAAAAACGGAUUUAAUUCAAAAUCUUGAUUGCAAAAAUACUGAGUUAGACAAAAUAGUGUCAAAUCUUCAAAAGGAAAAAGUUGACAUCGAACAACUUUCUAACUCGCAAAAAAGUGAAUUAGCUAAACUUUUAGGUGAAUUAAAAUUGCUACAAAAGGACAUGAAUUCUAAAACCGAGGAAUUUAAUCGUAUUACUUCUGAAAAUGUGAAACUAACUUCUGAAGUGAAAGAAUUAAAGGCCUCAAACUCAACUGCAAAUGAUGCUGAAGGUAAUGCUAAGACUGUCCUUGAAGAGGUUAAAUCCAAUCUUUCUUCUAAAAUUGAAGAAAUGUCCACAAAGUUUGAAUCUGAUAUUAAAGUGAAGACGGAUUUAAUUCAAAAUCUUGAGUGGAAAAAUACUGAGUUAGACAAAAUAGUCUCGAAUCUUCAAAAGGAAAAAGUUGAAAUGAAAGAACUUUCUAACUCACAAAAAAGGGAAUUAGCUAACCUUUCAGAUGAAUUAAAAUUGCUACAAAAGGACAUGAAUUCUAAAACUGAGGAAUUCAAUCGUGUUACUUCUGAAAAUGUGAAAUUAAUUUCUGAAGUGAAAGAAUUAAAGACCUCAAAUGAUGCCGAAAGUAAGGCUAAGACUGUCCUUGAAGAGGUUAAAUCCAAUCUUUCUUCUAAAAUUGAAGACAUGUCAACAAAGUUUGAAUCUGAUAUUAAAGAGAAGACGGAUUUAAUUCAAAAUCUUGAGUGCAAAAGUACUGAAUUAGAUGAAAUAGUAUCAAAUCUUCAAAAGGAAAAAGUUGAGAUGAAAGAACUUUCUAACACACAAAAAAGUGAAUUAGCUAACCUUUCAGAUGAACUAAAAUUGCUGCAAAAGGAAAUGAAUUCAAAAACUGAGGAAUUCAAUCGUAUUAUUUCUGAAAAUGUGAAAUUAACUUCUGAAGUGAAAGAAUUAAAGACCUCAAACUCAACUGAAAAUGAAUCUGAAGGUAAUGCCAAGACUGUCCUUGAAAAGGUUAAAUCCAAUCUUUCUUCUAAAAUUGAAGAAAUGUCGACUAUUCAAUUACAGCUCAAUAAGGAGCUAAAAGAUAAAAAUCGUGAAUAUGAUUCCCUCCUCUCACAGUCUAAUGCCAUGAAGAUUGAUAUUAUAGCCCUUAAGAAGUCUCUUGACUCAAAGUCUACGGAUUAUGCUAAUCUUCAAAACGAGGUUAUUGAUUUCAAAAAUAAAGCGGAGACGAAACAGAAAGAAAUUGAGGCUUUAAAUGCUGAAGGAAGUAAAUGGGAAAGUAAUUCUAAAUUUGAAAAUGAGUCCCUAUCAGUUCAAGUAUGUGAACUCAGUGCGGAGUUGGAUAUUAAGAACAAGGCAUUGCAUGACUUGAAAAAGGAUUAUAAUAUUAUCAAGGAUGAAAAAUCUUCAAUUGAGUCUUCAAAUAAAGAACUAACUAAUCAAAUCAGUAAGGCAUUAAAUGCUGUGGAUAAUUGUGAAAAGGAAGUGACGGUUAUUAAUAAUUCACUCUCUACUUUAGAGGCGGAGAAUUUACAGCUACGUGAAGAAUUAAAUGCCCUUAGACUAACUCUUCAAAAUACCAAGUCCGAGUUAGAUAAUCGGGACCUUGAUAAUCUCACUGAGAAGGGAAAGUAUGAAACUCAACUUCAAUCUUACAAGGAUGAAAUAAAAACCUUUAAGAAAGAGUAUUCGACCGAGGAGCUUUCUCUCCAAAACAAGUUCAAUGAUAAAAUUGAAAAAUUAAAAGAAGAAAUGGAAGCUAAGUCUAAAAAUGACUUAGCUUCUCAAAAGUCGCGCUAUGAAGUUAGAGUAAAGGACAUUACAGAAAAAGUGACUAAGCAAUAUAAGAUGAAGAUUGAACAAUUUGCCAAGGAAAAAGAUUCGGAAAUGGAUAAAUUGAAUCAAAAAUCUCAGGAUUUUGAGAAAAAGUACAAUAUUGCCAAGGUUAAAUUAUCUGAAUUAGUUUCUAAACUUGAAGAAAUGACAAAGGAGAACAGUGCUCUUCAAAAGAAAUAUACUGGAACCAAGAGUAUGAUAUUAAAGCUUAAAGAUGAAAAUGAACAUACUCUAAAUAAAUACUCACAUGAGGUUAGUAAUUCCAUGGAAAUUGAGACACUUAAAAGACAAUUGAAUAAAGUUCAAACGGAUAAUCGCCAGUUAAAUGUUCAACUUUCUACCGCUGAGCUCAAAAUCAGGUCAUUACAAAAGGAGGUGACGACUCUUAACUCUCAACAGACGUAUCAAUCUAUUUUACCCACAGCUCAAAUAUCUCCUGCUCGUUCUGUUUUCAAAAUUCCAUCAGCUGGAGACACUCCAGGAAGGACAAGAAAUGGAAGAACGCAGUCCGAGUCUAACUUUAAUACUCGCCGACCUCCUAAUGGUGUAGGCGCCUUAUUCAACGUGGACGAUGAAGAGGGAGAAAUGUUUUCCAAUUCAUAUUUAUCAGAUGUAAAAGAAGGGAUAUGUACCGUUAAUCAGAGUGGACGUUUAAGUGAAUUGUGCCGGCGAAAUACGCUUCAACCCUCACACCUGAAGUCAUCCUAUCCCAUUGAAACUCAAUUCUACAAUACCGACCAAUUCAAAGAAAAUGAGCUACAGGAAGGGAAGGUACUGACAGAUGUGCGGUCUAUUACCAAAGGAACAGCUAAUCUGAGCGUAAAUUCACCUGCUAUGAAUACCCGUUCCCGUCGAACCACCAUUGGGGGUUCAGCCAACGUAUCUCCUUUAUCUACUAGAAAAAGGGCCGUUCUUGACAAUUCAUCUUUUAAUUCAAACACAAGUAGUAUUAUUAGGUAUGAGGCUAAACGUUCAAGAAAGGAAGCUCAACAGACGUCCUACUCUAAACCUGGUCCACCAACUCCUGCUAAAAAUAAAAGCUUUCAUUCUAAUACGAGCAUGAAUAGAUCUUCUACUUCUGAUUUUGCUUAUCAAUAGUAAAAAGUGAAGUCAUAUUUUAUCAUAAGUUAUAUCCUUCACUCCUUCCUUCUUCAUCGCUCUGUCACAAUCAUUGUUGUAAUUCCUUCUUAUGGACGUAUACAUAUGUACUAUCAAUAAUUAUCAUUGAGGGACUGGAAAAUACUCCGAGCAUCAGGUCCACCCAAUCUCCCAACGUGUCAAAUCGAUCUCUUCGAUCCAGAAUAGUAGAUACACCUCUAACUCUAAAGAGGGCCGUUCGAAGUGCUUGGAAGAAGAAAAAGUCUUACAAUAUGAAGGGAAAAGUAGAG
rnacentral:misc_RNA from 1 species